AUGUACAACAGUAGCUUGUUUCUUUUUCCCAUUGCGUCUGGAGGAACUAUAUACUUCCCAGUAUUUCUUUGGUUCACCUUACUAACAAUACUUUUAGCGACGACAUUUGGGGUCACAUCAGCAAUCCUUCUAAAUGGCUCUCCAGGACCUUGGAUCCAAUGUAAAAAUGGCUUACGACAGGGCGACCCUCUCUCCCCCUUUUUAUUCAUCAUCGUUGCGGACGUUCUCCAACGAAUGAUUAUUGAUGCUUGUGAUAACCACCUCAUUGCUCACCCUGUCACAACCUCCAUGCCCAGCCCCGUUCUGCAAUACGCAGAUGACACGUUAAUUAUUAUCAAAGCUGAAACGGAUGCAGUAGCUCACCUUAAACACAUCCUUGAUGACUUCUCGCUUGCCACUGGCCUCUCGAUCAAUUUCCAAAAAACCACGGUAGUCCCCAUUAAUGUCGACUCUGACCUUGCCUCUCAAAUGGCAAACACGCUCGGCGCCGAAAUUGCGGCCUUCCCCCAAAAAUACCGCGGCCUCCCCCUCUCCCCCCAUAAACUCCAAUCGACAGCUUUUCAGCCAAUUAUAGACCAAUGUGAUAUCUACCUAGCCGGAUGGCGUGCUUUCCUGCUGUCUCGAGGAGGUCGUCUUGUCCUUCUCUCAGCCGUCCUGGAUAGUCUGCCGACCUACUUUAUGAUGUGUUUCUCCCUGCCCGUCAGUGUCCUCGAGGAGAUAGACAAGCGUAGGAGGAUUUUUUCUGGUUUAACGACGACUCCUUCUCUGGGGCUAAGUGUCUGGUUGCGUGGGACUGAGUUUGUAUGCCAAAGCUUGCGGGUGGUCUUGGGGUCAAAAACUUGCGAGCACAAUUUUUUUGCCUUAUGUUGA
rnacentral:rRNA from 1 species